GACGAACGCUGGCGGCGUGCUUAACACAUGCAAGUCGAACGGAAAGGCCCUUUCGGGGGUACUCGAGUGGCGAACGGGUGAGUAACACGUGGGUGAUCUGCCCUGCACUUUGGGAUAAGCCUGGGAAACUGGGUCUAAUACCGAAUACACCUUGCUGGUCGCAUGGCCUGGUAGGGGAAAGCUUUUGCGGUGUGGGAUGGGCCCGCGGCCUAUCAGCUUGUUGGUGGGGUGAUGGCCUACCAAGGCGACGACGGGUAGCCGGCCUGAGAGGGUGUCCGGCCACACUGGGACUGAGAUACGGCCCAGACUCCUACGGGAGGCAGCAGUGGGGAAUAUUGCACAAUGGGCGCAAGCCUGAUGCAGCGACGCCGCGUGAGGGAUGACGGCCUUCGGGUUGUAAACCUCUUUCAGUACCGACGAAGCGCAAGUGACGGUAGGUACAGAAGAAGCACCGGCCAACUACGUGCCAGCAGCCGCGGUAAUACGUAGGGUGCGAGCGUUGUCCGGAAUUACUGGGCGUAAAGAGCUCGUAGGUGGUUUGUCGCGUUGUUCGUGAAAACUCACAGCUUAACUGUGGGCGUGCGGGCGAUACGGGCAGACUGGAGUACUGCAGGGGAGACUGGAAUUCCUGGUGUAGCGGUGGAAUGCGCAGAUAUCAGGAGGAACACCGGUGGCGAAGGCGGGUCUCUGGGCAGUAACUGACGCUGAGGAGCGAAAGCGUGGGGAGCGAACAGGAUUAGAUACCCUGGUAGUCCACGCCGUAAACGGUGGGUACUAGGUGUGGGUUUCCUUCCUUGGGAUCCGUGCCGUAGCUAACGCAUUAAGUACCCCGCCUGGGGAGUACGGCCGCAAGGCUAAAACUCAAGGAAUUGACGGGGGCCCGCACAAGCGGCGGAGCAUGUGGAUUAAUUCGAUGCAACGCGAAGAACCUUACCUGGGUUUGACAUGCACAGGACGUGCCUAGAGAUAGGUAUUCCCUUGUGGCCUGUGUGCAGGUGGUGCAUGGCUGUCGUCAGCUCGUGUCGUGAGAUGUUGGGUUAAGUCCCGCAACGAGCGCAACCCUUGUCUCAUGUUGCCAGCACGUCAUGGUGGGGACUCGUGAGAGACUGCCGGGGUCAACUCGGAGGAAGGUGGGGAUGACGUCAAGUCAUCAUGCCCCUUAUGUCCAGGGCUUCACACAUGCUACAAUGGCCGGUACAAAGGGCUGCGAUGCCGUGAGGUGGAGCGAAUCCUUUCAAAGCCGGUCUCAGUUCGGAUCGGGGUCUGCAACUCGACCCCGUGAAGUCGGAGUCGCUAGUAAUCGCAGAUCAGCAACGCUGCGGUGAAUACGUUCCCGGGCCUUGUACACACCGCCCGUCACGUCAUGAAAGUCGGUAACACCCGAAGCCGGUGGCCUAACCCCUUGUGGGAGGGAGCCGUCGAAGGUGGGAUCGGCGAUUGGGACG
rnacentral:rRNA from 1 species